rnacentral:rRNA from 1 species
GACGAACGCUGGCGGCGUGCCUAACACAUGCAAGUCGAACGGAACUGUUUUGAAAGAUUUCUUCGGAAUGAAUUUGAUUUAGUUUAGUGGCGGACGGGUGAGUAACGCGUGAGUAACCUGCCUUCAAGAGGGGGAUAACAUUCUGAAAAGAAUGCUAAUACCGCAUGACAUAUCGGAACCACAUGGUUCUGAUAUCAAAGAUUUUAUCGCUUGAAGAUGGACUCGCGUCCGAUUAGUUAGUUGGUGAGGUAACGGCUCACCAAGACCGCGAUCGGUAGCCGGACUGAGAGGUUGAACGGCCACAUUGGGACUGAGACACGGCCCAGACUCCUACGGGAGGCAGCAGUGGGGGAUAUUGCGCAAUGGGGGCAACCCUGACGCAGCAACGCCGCGUGAAGGAUGAAGGUUUUCGGAUUGUAAACUUCUUUUAUUAAGGACGAAAAAUGACGGUACUUAAUGAAUAAGCUCCGGCUAACUACGUGCCAGCAGCCGCGGUAAUACGUAGGGAGCAAGCGUUGUCCGGAUUUACUGGGUGUAAAGGGUGCGUAGGCGGCUUUGCAAGUCAGAUGUGAAAUCUAUGGGCUCAACCCAUAAACUGCAUUUGAAACUGUAGAGCUUGAGUGAAGUAGAGGCAGGCGGAAUUCCCCGUGUAGCGGUGAAAUGCGUAGAGAUGGGGAGGAACACCAGUGGCGAAGGC